rnacentral:misc_RNA from 1 species
CUGAGUGAGCGCUCUCGGGCGCGACCUCCAACCCUUUGUAUUCCGACCACGUUGCCUCGGGGGCGACCCGGCCUUCGGGCGUUGGGGCCCCCGGUGGACAUCCAACUCUGCAUCUUUGCGUCUGAGUAUGAUAUUGAAUCAAUUA